rnacentral:tRNA from 1 species
UAGGAGAAUAGCUUAAAGGUAGAGCUUUGAUUUUCAAAAUCAAUGGUUGAAGGUUCAAAUCCUUCUUCUCCUGA